rnacentral:lncRNA from 1 species
GGAUGUAGGGGUAUGGGUGCAGUGACCCAGCCCUGGGUGCUAAUGGAGGGCUGGGAAGCGUCCCUCCACAGCUCACUUCUGGCACCAGCCCCAGAGCAGUGGCAGCCAUGUCCCAGUGGGCAGCCGUGGCCAUGUCACCAUGGUGUCACCAUGGUUGUCAUUGUGACACGGCCGCCUCGAAGGGUACAAAGAGGGCUGCUCCCCCAGGUGCAGGUGCAGGUGAAGCCAUGGAGGCAGAGGGUGCGAAGGGGUCCCUGGAGCAUGCACAGGAGUCCCUGGAGAACAUGGCGGAGGUCUUGGCGCAGGUCGCUCAGGCAAGGGCUGGUGUGGAAGCGGCGCUGGAGGAGUUCCUAAAGUGCAAACGGAGACGUGCAGAGCUGGAAGAGGCUGUUGCUGAAAGAGCCAGUAUCAACAAGGCUCUGAGGGAGGAGAUUAAGAACCUCCAGGAGAGAAGGGAGGUUUUCAAAACGCAAACUGCCAGCAGGGGGAAGAGGAUGCAGGCGGCCGAGGCGCCCAAGACCUGGAUGCAGGAGAUGGUGGCUGCGCAGCUGGAGAUUAGUGCUGUCCUUUGCCGGCCUGCAGCUCGCCUUCCUCAUCCUGGUCCUGCUGAAGAGGGACAUCCUCCACUGGAUCCUUCCUCCAGGGCUGGCAUCUGCCCUUGGAAGCCAUCCACCAGAUGAACUGUGAAAAGAAAAGGGAACCUUGAAGAAAAGGGAAGACCCUUUCUCUUCUAACCCUGCCAAUAAACUGUGGCCCUUUAUCA